rfam:Xenorhabdus cabanillasii JM26, WGS project CBXE01000000 data, contig: XENCA_2134_Contig_98
UUUCAAAGGUUGACUUACAUGAUCCACAAUUUCCGUCUACUAAGCCUACUACUAAUCGCCUUUAGUGUGCGCGGUAUGCUGGUAGACUGAAUUCUAAGUUAACCUUUACCAGAGAUAAAAAAACCCGCGCCGUACGCGGGUUUUUUU